UAUAUGGCUAGACUGGAGGGUUAGGGGUCCUCUGUAAGCACACACCCCCUUUGGUGCAGUUGAAGUUCAAGAGGCGGCUUUUUGAGAGAAUAUAAGCCUAUUAAAAACAACAUAGAAACCUCGUCCUGCAGGAUUGGUGGUGAUGAAGUUUUUACUGGAGGGUAAAAAUUAGUCAUCUUCGAUAUGGGAACGGGUCAGGCCCGGAAGGGAGCAGCUCUACUAUUAACAUUUCAAUGCUUGUAGAAUCCCGGGGUGGAGUUGGUUUUUUUAGAUCACUUAUAUUUUUGAGAUUAGUCCACUCUUGGACAUGCCAUUAA
rnacentral:SRP_RNA from 1 species